UGAGGAAUAUUGGUCAAUGGACGCAAGUCUGAACCAGCCAUGCCGCGUGCAGGAAGACGGCUCUAUGAGUUGUAAACUGCUUUUGUAUAAGGGUAAAAUUGGGUACGUGUACCCAACUGAAAGUACUAUACGAAUAAGGGUCGGCUAACUCCGUGCCAGCAGCCGCGGUAAUACGGAGGACCCAAGCGUUAUCCGGAUUUAUUGGGUUUAAAGGGUGCGUAGGCGGUUUGGUAAGUUAGAGGUGAAAUUUUUAGGCUCAACCUAGACAUUGCCUCUGAUACUGCCGAGCUAGAGAGUAGUUGCUGUGGGCGGAAUGUAUGGUGUAGCGGUGAAAUGCAUAGAGAUCAUACAGAACACCGAUUGCGAAGGCAGCUCACAAAACUAUAUCUGACGUUGAGGCACGAAAGCGUGGGUAGCAAACAGG
rnacentral:rRNA from 2 species